rnacentral:rRNA from 1 species
UACAUAGGGGGCGAGCGUUGUCCGGAAUCAUUGGGCGUAAAGGGCGCGUAGGCGGGAAUACAAGUCUGUUUUUAAAGUUCAGGGCUCAACCCUGUGAUGGACCAGAAACUGUAUUUCUUGAGGGCAGGAGAGGAAAGUGGAAUUCCUAGUGUAGCGGUGAAAUGCGUAGAUAUUAGGAGGAACACCAGUGGCGAAGGCGGCUUUCUGGACUGCAACUGACGCUGAGGCGCGAAAGCUGGGGGAGCGAACAGG